ACGACUGUACUUUCAGGGAUCAUUUCUAUAGUUCUUGACUAGAGAAGUUUCUCGGAAUGUGUAGAGCACCUGAAACCACGAGGAGAAGACACAGUGUUUUCUUCUGAGCAUGAAGCUGGUUUUUGGUGUUGUUUUUGCAACUGCCAUAGCCAUUGGCGUCUGUUCUUCUCGUCCUUUGGAAGAGUGAGAGGGAGAGAACACAGUCUGAGUGGA